rnacentral:rRNA from 1 species
GGUGGAUGCCCUGGCAGUCAGAGGCGAUGAAGGGCGUACUAAUCUGCGAUAAGCGCCGGUAAGGUGAUAUGAACCGUUAUAACCGGCGAUACCCGAAUGGGGAAACCCAGUGUGAUUCGUCACACUAUCAUUAACUGAAUCCAUAGGUUAAUGAGGCGAACCGGGGGAACUGAAACAUCUAAGUACCCCGAGGAAAAGAAAUCAACCGAGAUUCCCCCAGUAGCGGCGAGCGAACGGGGAGGAGCCCAGAGCCUGAAUCAGCAUGUGUGUUAGUGGAAGCGUCUGGAAAGGCGCGCGAUACAGGGUGACAGCCCCGUACACAAAAGCGCAUGUGCUGUGAGCUCGAUGAGUAGGGCGGGACACGUGGUAUCCUGUCUGAAUAUGGGGGGACCAUCCUCCAAGGCUAAAUACUCCUGACUGACCGAUAGUGAACCAGUACCGUGAGGGAAAGGCGAAAAGAACCCCGGCGAGGGGAGUGAAAAAGAACCUGAAACCGU